GUGGGAGGAAGCUCACUCCAGAGGUUCACAAACUGAGUGUCCAUCACUCCACCCACAACCUUGGGGAAGGUCUGAGACAAGAGCCAAUCACUGCCCUCGCAGGGUGUCACUGAUCCAGGUGGAGUGAUGACCCAGAGAAGCUGGAGCUGAUGGAGGUUCAGGUAGGAGGAAUAGUGCUGGGUGUGGUGAGUUAGCAGGGAGUAACGACGUCGAGCUUGAGAGAGCGGAAGGAGAAGUCCUGAAAUUUGAGCGAGGAUAUCCGAAGGUUGACACCCCCAGCCUACACAUUGAACUCUGUUUUCCAGCCCUUGAGCCUUGGUACGGUAUUGACGUUUUCCAAUGCGAUCGUCGCGAUAUGAUGAGAUGCGUCCAUGGCAGUGUCGUAGAGCCAUGUAUGUUCAGGCACUGUCUCCAGAACCCAAUUCAGACUACUCUCCUCUCAC
rnacentral:RNase_P_RNA from 2 species